AGGGUGCCACUCCCCGGGGGUCCCUCCAGUCAGCAAAAGAAGGAGAAUCCAGCCAAGUUAAAGAUGCAAAACAGCGGUCCGUUGACCUGAUCUUUAUUUGUUGCAACAAGGUUCAAACACACCAAGAGUAGGAACCCCUGAGAAGAUGGUUGCAUGGAUUUUUAAGACCUCUCCCCAUUUCCCACAAUACAUUUUCCCAUAGCAUUUCUUUGAUGCAUCACAGAUUUGUCACAAAGUAGGAGUCUUUGGCAUUCAGAAACAUGAGCCCGUCACCCACCCCUGUCAACAACCCCAGCUUCCCACACAUUUUUAAACUACCCUCUUCCAAUAAGAACCUCUUCCAAUAAGAACCAUAUUCACAGAUCCCCCCAGCUGCAAGGCUUUCCUGGGCUUCUCCUUUGGAAGUAUCAGGAUCCUCCUCCUCCUCCUCCAAUCCGGCUUCUGUUCCGGGAAUAAGGGGGGGGGUGAGCCUCCUCCCAAACUGCUGCUUCUCCCGGAAGUGGAGCUUCGACGCCGGAUUGCCGCUCAGCGCCAUAGCUCUAGGGGCGCGCCCUUUCGGAAAGGGGAGGAGGGGCGGCAGGGGAUCCCCCCGCAAACAUCGAUGUUGCAGGAAAUGAAAUGAAAAUCGGGAACCAGGACAAAGAGGCAAUGUCAGGGUGACUGACAAGCUGAGAUACUUCCCAGUCAAAGGACCCAUUUUCAUGAUAGACAGUGCUUGUGGCUGGAGGCUCUACAGGCAUGGUGUGCCUAUGGAGGCCAAAGACUGCCAGUAUUAGCACAGGAUUUCCUUUCCUCCCACACUGAGGAGGGUCAUGGAGAAGAGAGACAGACUUCCAGGGGAAAGGGCACCUUUGUUUUCAUUAGAUAUAGAC